rnacentral:rRNA from 1 species
GAGGUCACUGCUAUCCGAAUCCGACUAAGCCAUGCAAGUCCCGGUGUUCAUUUCUGGACGCCGUGGCGGAAAGCUCAGUAACACGUAGUUAACAUUCCCUCGAGUCUGGGAUAAUCUCGGGAAACUGAGGCUAAUACCAGAUAGACAAGGGGUACUGGAAUGUCCCCUUAUCAAAAGUCCGCGCUCGAGGAUUGGACUGCGGCGGAUUAGGUUGUUGCCAGGGUAACGUCCUGGCAAGCCGAUAAUCUGUGCGAGCCUUGAGAGAGGAAGCUCGGAGAUGGAUUCUGAGACAAGAAUCCAGGUCCUACGGGACGCAGCAGGCGCGAAACUUUCCCAAUGCACGAAAGUGUGAGGAAGGGAUUUGGAGUGCUCUCCCUACUUUAGGGGGAGCUUUUGUGGAGUGUUUAUAGCUCCAAGAAUAAGUGGUGGGUAAGACGGGUGCCAGCCGCCGCGGUAAUACCCGCGCCACGAGUGGUGACCACGAUUAUUGGGCUUAAAGCGUUCGUAGCCGGUUCAGAAAGUCUUUAGUGAAGUCCCAUAGCUAACUAUGGGGCCUGCUAGGGAAACUACUGGACUAGGGACCGGGAGAGGUCUGGAGUAUUCCAGGGGUAGGGGUAAAAUCCUGUAAUCCUUGGGAGACCACCUGUGGCGAAGGCGCCAGACCAGAACGGAUCCGACGGUGAGGGACGAAAGCUGGGGGAGCAAAGGGGAUUAGAUACCCCCGUAGUCCCAGCUGUAAACGAUGCCCACUAGACAUUGGCAAUCUCACGGGGGUUGCCAGUGCCGUAGCGAAAGCGUUAAGUGGGCCGCCUGGGGAGUACGGUCGCAAGGCUGAAACUUAAGGGAAUUGGCGGG